rnacentral:tRNA from 1 species
CGAGGCGUAGCGCAGCCCGGUAGCGCACUUGUCUGGGGGACAAGGGGUCGUGAGUUCGAAUCUCGCCGCCUCGA